rnacentral:rRNA from 1 species
GAAUAGAUACCCCGGUAGUCCACGCCGUAAACGAUGGAUACUAGCUGUUGGAGGUAUCGACCCCUUCAGUAGCGAAGCUAACGCGUUAAGUAUCCCGCCUGUGGAGUACGGUCGCAAGACUAAAACAUAAAGGAAUUGACGGGGACCCGCACAAGCGGUGGAUCGUGUUCUUUAAUUCGAUGCUAAACGAAGAACCUUACCAGGGCUUGACAUCCCUUGAAUUACUUCGAAAGAAGUGAGUGCUUUAUUGAACAAGGUGACAGGUGAUGCAUGGCCGUCGUCAGCUCGUGUCGUGAGAUGUUUGGUUAAGUCCAUCAACGAGCGCAACCCUUGCAACUAGUUGUAUUUUUCUAGUUGGACUGCCCCGGUAACGGGGAGGAAGGAGGGGAUGAUGUCAGGUCAGUAUUUCCCUUACGUCCUGGGCUAGAAACACGAUACAAUGGCUAGUACAAUGCGCAGCGAAGCCGCGAGGUGAAAGCAAAUCGCAUCAAAGCUAGUCCCAGUUCGGAUUGGAGGCUGAAACUCGCCUCCAUGAAGUCGG